ACCUCCUACAAGAGAUUAGGGAAAAUAGCACAUUUAGGGAAAAUCAGCACAUUUGUUUUGCAGGUACAAAUGGCUGGAGACUGAACAUGGAGCAGGACCACUCUAUGUACAGAGAAGAGGAGCAGCAAUGAGGCUGAACGGAGGGAGGGCCAUGCCUUUCAAGGGUUACAACACGAUUGCUUCUCUCCAUUCAAGGGAAGUACUCUGCAUGAACCAUCUCUUUUAAUUCUCAUGACAGCCCGUGUAGCACGUAUUAUCAUUCCCCUUUUAUGGAAAAAGGGUGAGCAAGGUUGCAUGAGCUCUCCAAGGCCUCAUAGCUCCAAAGCUGUGCCACUCUCCUCUCUUCAGCAUCUGCCUUCCAGGGAGACCAUGAAAAAACAGUAAAGCCCUUCCCAGUCAGAGGUUGUAGGUGGCUUAGUGGUAGAAUUCUCACCUUCCAUGUGGGAGGCCUAUGUCAGUGGAGGCUUGCCUGUUGCUAUGAUGCUGAACAGGAUUCAGUGGAGAAUCUAAGACGGACUAAGGAGAGAGGCCUGGUGAUCUACUUCUGAAAAUCAGCCAGCUGAAAUUCCAUGGAUCAAAAUGACCUGAUCCAGCAUUCUGUUCCACUGUAAAUGAGGUUGCCCUGAGUUGGAGUUGGGGGCAGACUCAACAGCAAAACAGACAGAUAAAACAGAUAACCCCAGGGAUGUAAACUUUCUAAAACAUAGAAGCUACAUGGAUGGUAAUGAGGCUUCUGGGUGAACCCAUUAUCUUUAGGUAGAUUGCCAGGCCCUUCUUCCUAGUCCCACUUAGUCCAGACGCUCCACUGCAUCCUGUUCAGCAUCAUAGCAACACGCAAGCCUCCGUUAUAGACAGGUAGUAGCUGUGCAUGAGGUUCGUUUGUCUUGGGUCUUUGACCAGCUAUAGAGCAAAGGCUGCACAAAACCUAGAUUUUAUCCUAUAGAAGCCGCAGGGUACAAUAAAGAAGCAUAGACUUGACCUCCGAAUUCCUGGAUUCAUUCACUGACAGCAGACUAUGUACCAGGCCCAAAGGACUACGUGACAUUUCUAGUUCAUUGUAGCAGGGUGACCUUAGCCAAGACACUCAGCAUCAUCUCUAAUCUGUACAUUAAAAUACACCUCUCCUUCUGUAUGUGCUGUGUCACUACUGGGUACAAUGAUCGUUCUACUCAUCUGAGCAGUCAGCAGAGAACAACCUUCGGACAAUGAGAGCCAUUGGUACAGCUCAACACCCUUAAAAAAAAGGCCAAUCCAGUUGAUUCUGAUUCAUGGUGACGCCAUGUGUUACACAGUAGAACUAUGCUCCAUAGGGUUUUUAAGGCUAUGGCCUUUUGGAAGCAAAUUGCCAGGCUUUUGUUCUGAGGCACCUCUGGGUGAGUCUGAACCACCAAUCUUUGGGUUAGUAGCUGAGUACUUAACAGUUUGUGCCACCCAGGGACUCCUCUCAUCACCCAUUUGGUUCCAAAUUUGGAAGAGAAGGUCCAAGUGUAUUUGCCUCAGUGUGCUACAUCAUUGUAACAUACAUAUUCUAGCCUAUCUUCCUUCUCUAUGCCUUAAUUAGGUACCACUGAUGUCCAGUCCUCUCCUCCUGCUGUGAUCAGGGGAGGAGUGCUCAGUAACCGCCCACGAAGCAUUCUGUCAGGGAGGCAGAUCUCCCCACAACAUUCUCUUCCUUAGUAUCUGUCAGAGGUAUUGGCUUUGGCCAGUGAUUCACAGCAAGAAUGCCCCAGAAAGAGGACAGGAGGCAAAAAGACGAUGUCAAUGCUGCCAGAUUUCAGAAUUUCAGAUAGGUUAAAGAAUUCUUCCAAAGUGAACUUGGGAGGCCCAGCGUUAGCUGGAUGUCUCACCCGACAUUGUCAACCAUCAAGCUAUUUCUGGCUCUCAUGGGGUUCCUCUCUCUGGCUCGCCUCCAGCUGUCCCCUCAUUAAGAGGGAGCAGCUCUUGUUCUGAGGCUCCAUCUACCACCAUCUCACACUCCUGGCCUCCCUGCCCUGCCAGAAGUAGAAACAAGGCAGGCAAGAAUGCUGAGUCAUGGAGCCGGAGUUCUGCUGCAAAAAUACCCCUCAUCGUUUUCCAUUCUUUUUCUUCCUCGAGCCUUCAUUCAGGCCUUGCCCAGUGAAGAUGGCUAAUGUAAAAACAGGGAGCACACCAACACACACACACACACACACCCACACACACACACCUCCCCCCCCCCACACACACACCCACCCACGACUUUUCCAUUAAGUUUGGUAUCUGUGUCUAUAGUCAUCUAUCUUGAGUCUUCUAAUUUAUAAUCGAAAUAGUCAUGGCCCUGCUAAAAUCCAUUGCUGUAGAGUUGAUCCUGGCUCAGGGUGACCCCAUGUAUUUCAGAGCAGAACUGUACUCCAUAGGGUUUUCUGUGGUUGUAAUCUUAUAGAUUGCUAGGCCUUUCUUCUGCAGUACCACUGGGUGGAUUUGAACCACCAAGCUUCCAGUUAGUAGCCAAGCACAAACCAUUUGCACUACCUAGGGAUCAUCAUGGGCCUGCCAGUGGCACCAUAAACUGGUAUCACCCCUUUGAAAAAUUAGUAAGGCAAUACAUAUCAAGAACCAGGGAUCCCAUUCCUGGACAUUAUUGCUAAAAAACUAUUUCAAAGAAUGCUAAAGCUAUAUGUUAUUAUCCAUAAGAACACAAUUUAUAAGAAACUAGCUAAAUGUCCUCCUUCCUUUGGGUAAAGCAUUAAAGAAAUCACAAAUUAGCAACCCAGAGAAUCACAUUCAGCCAGCCAUUCAGUAUGAUAAUUACGAAGAUAUGAUCUUCAGUGAAAAAAAGCUGUGUGUAAAACCACUAUAUACCUACUGACCACAAUGAUGAAUAAUGGAGGCGAAUAUGGGAAAUGGAAUUCAUUAUGUUAUGGUGCUAGGAUAAUAAAUGACUAUUUUCUUCUUUCCAAAAACUGUAAAUAUUUUUUUCAAUAAAAAGUUAUGCUCUAAUGAUAUAAAUUCAUAAAACUUGCUCUUAGAUUAGCAAGGUUGAUAUACAUAAUGAUUUCUUUACUAAUUUCAGUAUCUCUCCUUAGGAAAAUUGUCUUUAGGCUUGGGAAGACUGUUUUAGGAGGCAAGGAGAAAAAGGAGAGGACUGGCUUGUCUUUUCAAUAACCAGUCAGUAUAUUACAGCAAAUGGAUAAUGAGCUCGGCUACUGACUGAAAGCUUGGAGUUUUGAGUUUACUCAGAGGUGCCAAUAAAGAAAGGCUUGGCGAUCUGCUUCUGAAAAAUCAGCUAUUGAAAAGCCUAUGUACAGUUCUACUUGGCCACACAUGGAAAUACCAAAAAGGAAAAGGUGAAAUUCAUGAAGGACUUCCCGAGCUGACUACAAUUGCUGCUUUGUUUAGGAAAAUCACAUGGCUAAUUAUCCUCUUCCUAAUGAGAGCCGGUAUGAACACCAUCAGAGCCCAGGCGCAUCCUCUUGACUAGGUGGUGAUGUCACUUGAGACCAGAGCAUCAACGUGGUUAUCAUGGACAUGGAAGAUGAUAAGAAAAGAUGUGGAAAUGAUUGUGCAUUUAAACCUUGUUAAGAUCACCCGAAGAGAAGGUAGUAGGAUGGUUUGGAACCUUGAUUAAAAAAAUGUAAAGUCAUCCUUGUCCCACUCCGAUCCUUAAUCCUUCAUUCCAACAAGGACUGUGAAUCCAGGGGCCCAAGUGAACUGGCUUGGCUUUUCCAAAGUUAGGAUCUAUGGGAGUUUUGAGCAAUCAAUUCCAUACUCUCCCUGAAUGAGAAAGAUAAUGAAGAUUUCAAAAGUAUAAGUUUACAUACUUUAUUGGGGAAUUGGUUUGUGGGGUUGAUAUUUAGAUGAAGAUAAAAUUAUAGAAUAUGUAGAUUAUUGUUGUUGUUAGGUGCCAUCAAGUCAAUUCUGACUUAUAGUGACCCUAUGUACAACAGAAUGAAACACUACCUGGUCCUGUGCUAUCCUCAUAAUCAUUGCUACGCUUGAGCCUAAUACAACAGGAAGAAAGGCCCCUUAAAAGUUAACACUUUCCAGGGAGCCUAAAAUUACUAAGAACUUUGUCCAAAUGUGUUGACACUGCUGGAGUUCUAGAGUCCUCUCUCACCCUGUAGAAGAAUGGGGAUGCUGUGACGAACCCUUCAGAAAACCUCUGCAGGCUCCCCUGCUAUCUUCUCCACCAUGUCUACUCCUCUAGCUUGCAGCCCCUGAUUUUAGACCACUUUAUUAGACAUUAGAAAAAAAAAAUUUAUUUUUAUUUUUAUUAGACAUUAUGGUUGCUCACUAGUAUCUGGCUUUCCUUUUCUUCUGGGAACACGGAAGACUCUACUUCCCAGCGACCUUUGCAGUUAGGUGGGGUCAUGUGAUUAGUUCUGGCCAACGAAAUGUGAGAGGAAGUGCCAUGUCUCUUUUCUAGGCCGAAGCAGUGAAAAGCACGUGUCCUCUAGCCUCUCUCUUCCCCUGCUGCAGAGACGAAGAAGCAACAUGUUUCAGAUGCUGGAGCUAUGGGAUGGCAAAGUAGCUAUCGGUCUGUGUCCCUAAGCAACUGUGUGGAGGGGUCCUUUGUCAACCCAUGUAAGUUAUGUAAUGAGAGUAAGAAAUACACUUUGUUGUGCUAAACUGUGUUGUAGCAAAAUGCAGUAAUGUAGCCUAUCCUGACUGGUUCACCUCUUUACUUCAGACCCUCUCCCACCUUUCUGCCUGGCCCCUUUGGACUGGCAUCUUCUUAUACGUAGUCCCCAUGAUUCCUGAACCUCUCUUUGACCCUGAACACUGACUUAAGUUCUCCUUAAAUCAAUUUUCAUAACGAAGUAUCAGCCCUGUUCCCCUUCAAAGGCCAGUCUGGCUGCCUACUCACUAACCUGGGAGGAGACAUUUGGGCGCUUGGGGAAGUUGGUUUACUUUUCAAUAGAAAAUCCACCAUCAAAGUGACUUUGUGAUAUCAUUAGCAUAUCAAUUUAUAAAAACAUUCUCAAGUUUCAAUUGAAGCUUGAAUCACAAUUGCUUUGUAUGAGUCUUUUGUAGUAUAAUAUAUGACAUGGUCAGUGAACUAGAGAGAGUGUUUACCAUCUAUAAAUAGGAAGUCACCCACUGGCUUUGAAAAUGCUUCACAUAGAAUGGGACAAGAGUAAUUCACAUGUUUGUCAUGGGGCAGUCAUCAGAAUCUCUAAUGGGAGGUUUUUGGAGGCAAAAAGGCCCUUUUCCACUGGGCUUUGUGGCAGUACAUGUUUUAUGUUUUUUAUAUUCAUUGUCCCCUGUCAAGGAAACAAGCUGCGAUAUCGCUCAUAGGAUGCUAGCUGAAAAGAAAAUACAGAAUACUAAAAAUACGGUAUGGCUUUUAAAGGUUGCUCUUUGCAUGGUUUCUCUCAAGAUGCACUAGAUUAGUCAUGGGAGAGUUGAAGAGCAGAAUCAGAUGAGCCCGAAUCACCACUCUCAAUCCUACACUCUAAGGAGGAGUGGGGUCUCUCCAUGACUUCGAAGCCAAGCUGGUGUAUAGUUCAGGCCUUUCCGUGUGGGAGCAAAUACAGACCCAGGGACCAGUGAGAUGGGAAUAGGAGGUCACCGGUGAAGGAAGCACCCCCCCGCCGCCAUCUCCCAGGCAUGGCCUCAUUCCUUACCAUGCUUUUUUUGGUUUGAACUGGAUUGAGACUAUCUAAUUCAUCACUCUCAUUUUACAGAUGGGAAGACUGAGGCCUGAAGAGAGGAAAUAAAUUAUGCAAUGUCACACAGCUAGUGGGAGAGGGAGCAGGGGCUGGUGCUCUUCCUUCUACUCCAUGCUCCCAUGCUGGGUCAUGAUUUCUCCCUAUGUUUAGAACGUGUCAGUACCCCAAAUUAUGCUGAACACAGCCCCAAAUGUGGUUAUUACUUAAUAUAUGCUCAGGAAACUCUUGGGUUGCUAAUACCUGAGGAAAGGGCUUUAACUGUAAUUUAAAAUAAAAAUGCCGUUGAAAAAGUAAAUGUGGCUACCACAAUACAUACAGUUUCAGCUUUGAGCACUGGGAGCCAAGCUGAGGCAGAAAUCACCUGCAGAAAGCAGCUGCUAAGCCGUGAGCACUUGCAGCGUGCAAGCCUGUACUAGAAAAGUUCUUGUGUGUAGAGAUAAGGAGGAGAGACAGGCUGAUCUCAGCAGUCUGGUUCAGUGAAGAAUCUGGCCUCUAACCCAGCAGGGCAGCACAGAGUGGAGGCAAGGGCUGUGCAUUGGGAUCGGGGAGCCUGGGUUUGAAUUCUAGAUCCAUCUACUGGCUGUACUACUUGGGGUUUGACUUCUCUGAGCCUCCAAGCCUCCUUUGCAAUAUGGGGCCAUAAUACACUCUUAUCUGAUUGGAUUGUUCUGAGAAUUAACUCCUUGUGUUGGUGUCAAGCUCACUGUUGGCUUUUAAUCUAGGCAGGACAGAGGAGUGCGUAUAAAUCUGGGACACUAACUCAGGUGGUUACUAAGUCUGUGACCUUAAACAAGUUACUUAAGGAAAAUCUGUUUUCGUAUCUGAAAAAUAGGGACAAUGAUAUCCACCUCUUCAGGCUGUUGAGAGAACAGUUUAUGUAAAGCUCUUAGCACAGUGCCUGGCAUAUAGUAAACCAAACCAAAACCAAGCCCGUUGCUGUCUAGUUGAUUAUGUCUCAUGGCGACCUCCCAUGUUAUAGAGUAGAACUGCUCCAUAGGAUUCUCUUGGCUGUAAUCUUUAUGGCAGCAGAUUGCCAGGCCUUUCUUCUGUGGUGCUGCUGGGUGUUCUGUCAAUCUCUAGGUUAGCAGUUGAGCACUGAACUGUUUGUACCACCCAGGGACUCUCUGGCAUAUAGUAAGAGCUCAAUAAAUGUUAUUGGUAAUUAUUAUCAUUACCAAUAAUCAAAGUUAAUUCUCUCUGCAGAUUGAAGGGUUUAAUUAUUCGGUGUGCUUCAACGGUCCAAAUCGCCCACUUUGCCUCUCUGUGUGAGUACAACAGGAUUAAUCUCCUUACAUGCUCGCGGGCAAGGCUGUUCUUCUCCUCCUCAGCUCCUUUGAUGUGGGAGUGAGAAACACUGGCCUAGAUUCUUUCAGAGGGAGGCAAUGAAGGGCCUGGAGCACAUUGGAAAGCAGGGAAUGUUUAGUGGGGGUGAGGACUGCCUGUAAGCCCACGUGGCGGGGGAGGGGGAGGUCUGGGUCCAAUGGGGGAUGGAAGCAGACAAGGAUUUGCAAGGGCCGUAUUUCCUAACAAAAGGAAUAUGAAAAGAGAGAUUUCCUAAACCUUCAGGGAAGAAGAUAGCCAAGGAGAGGCCCUUGAUCUUACCGGCACUAGCCAUAUUAAGAGAAUUCAAUUACCCUAUUUGAUUCAUCAAUAGCUCAAUAUCCUUCACUGAUUAACUCAAGGGGGUAGAUGACAAUUUUCCCUGUGGUCUCAAGAGCGGGCAGUGUACAAGGCUAGAGCAAUGGCACUUAACAUUAAUUAAAGGAAUGUCUCCUUUUUCUAGUGGAAUGGGGUUUCUGACUUUUAAGGGCUCCAAAAGAGUGGCUAUUUUGCUCUAGGCAGAAUGAAGAAUUGGAAUUAAAUGCAAACCAAGUGGCCAGUAUGAAGCAGCAAACCUUUGUUUCCAGGCCAGGGACCCUCUCAUCUCAGGCACAUUAUAGCUCUAUUUUACUUCAUUACAUGAACACACUUAUACUUAUGUAAUUUUACCCACAUAUUCAUGUACCUACCCAUUCACAUGUACACGCCUACACUCUCAGCCACACAAGUGUGCAUUCUUGCUGUAUCUUGCCAUGAAUACACUGUUAACGGAGCAGCCCUCUGGAACUCUGCAAUACUUCAGAGGUUGUAGAGGAGGGGGGUGGAGAGGAGUUCUGAGGGCACUCUCGGGAGGUACUCUUGGCAGGAGCCAGCAUCACUGGGGGCCAUCAUGGAAAGUCGUUUUGGCUUCAUGCAGCUUUGACCUUGCUCUUCUCUUAAAGCCACCCUGGCAAGUUGGCCUCCCCUCCUAGGUUCCCUGGCAUCAAGAUUCCUGGUUCCUGCCAGUUAGUUUUAUCCUUGGAGUCUUGGAGUGAGGGCCUUAGUAGGGCUGGGGGGCAUUGGUUUGAUGAAGGCCUAGGCACCAUCCCUAUAUAAGGCUCAGGUCCUGUCCACCCCUUGAACUUUUUCUAAGACCAGGGUGACUGAUUUUCUAAGCAACAAGACCAGUUAGGAUGAGAGGGCACCAUAUAAAAUAUAACAAUUUUUUUUUAAAUCAAGGGCCUAUCUUUGGGUAGAGAAAUGGAUUCUAUUCCUAUAAAUAUAGGGAUAAAGAAUAUCCCCAGUGAAUGGGAGAGCAGAUCCUCUGGGUCUCAUGGGGAAGUAAUGAAUCAAGCUGCACUCUUUCUGCCCAGAGCCCUUUCCCCAGCCGCUGAUCAAGUGAAGAGGCUGUGGAGAAUUUCUAUAGAGCUGCUGGUAGCUGCUGUGACCAUCGCUAAGCUCUCUUUUCAUUUUACCCCGCAGAACAGUGAUUCCAAACCGCUGGCCUGUGAAUUGGCCCUAAUUCACGAGACACUUUUCACGAUUUCGUAAUAGCAAGUAGAGGAAAAUGAGGACACUGGUGUGAAUUUUUCAUAAAGCUAAUUGAAUGCAGUAGAAGGGACUGGCCUUUAUUCCAAGAUUAGGUCCUUCUUACUCUUUUGAUGAUCAAGCAUCCUUUCUUUUAUGAAAGGAUUGUGGUAUUAAAUUUUAGUCAGAUUUUUUUUUUAAUAUCCUUAUUUGCCAAAAUUGAAAGUUGGCAACCCUCUAUCAAUUUGAUUUUCUUUCUUUCUUUUUUUUUUUUACUUUUUACUUACUGAUGAAAGGCAAAGUUAGAGGAUCGCCAUGUAGAGUAUAGGGCAAUAUCUAGCUCAGAGAUCACAGGGCCCCAGACCCAGAGGUUCUGAUUCAGUAGAUCUGGGAGUGGGGCCUGAGAUUUUGCAUUUCUAUCAAGUUUUUGGAAUCCCUGAGUCACUAUGAGUCGCAAUUGACUCGACGGCAAUGGGUUUAGUUUUUUGGGGGCCUGAGUGGUACAAAAAGUUGAUAUGCUCAGCUGCUAACCAAAAGGUUAGAGGUUCAAGUCCACCUAGCAGACCCUUAGAAGAAAGGCCUGACAAGCUACUUCUGAAAAACCUACCACUGAAAACCCUUUGAAGUACAGUUCUACUCUGACACACAUGGGGUGCCAUGAGUUGGAAUAAGCUCCAUGGCAAUUUUUUUUUUUUAAAAAACAUGUUCUCAGGUGAUGCUGGUGCUACUGGCCAGGACCACAGUGUGAGAUCCACUGGUCUAGCCUGUCCAUGCUGGGAUGUGGAGGGCCUUCUGAGAGCUAUGGUAGGAGUCCUUGCCUAUAGGCAGGGCUGUGUGGACUCAGUCCCAGGCUCUCUGCAGUGGUGAAUUUCAGAUUUCUUUCUCCCUUGCUAUAGUGCCAACAAAGUAGGCUGGAGGCAGUUCUAUGGAAGGAAACAAGGACAUUUGCUGAACGAAAUGAUACUACAAAGAACAGACUGCCCCAUUUUUAAGCUGGGGGAAGAGAGUAUGUUCCAGGCUCUCUGCCUGAUAAUGUCAGCAUGGAGUCUGGCUGUGUCAGGAAAUUUCCCACUCAUGAUUUAUUUUCGCCUUCAAUAUCUGCGAGCUGUAAGAAAGGCAGUCCAGAUUUGAUUUCGAUGGGCCCUGGGGUGACAGGAGGGGAGGUGCUAGGACUCGAGGGUAAGGAUUCUGUCUGGGACAUGCUUAUCUGACUCACUACAACCUCAAUGUGACUUUCAAAGGUUAUUUAAAAGUUUUCUCACUCUUUGAUUUUUCUACCUGGGAUAUUCCCUGAGGUUAUGUUUAUAUUAUUUCUCUUCCAAAUCAAUUUAUCGACUUUGUGUAUUUUAAUCUUUGUCCCCAGGAGAAAGAUGUGGCAGUCUCCUUCCAUAAAGAUUUACAGCCUUGGAAACCCUAUGGGGAAGUUCUAUUCUGUCUAUAGGGUUGCUAUGAGUUGACAUCAACUCAGUGGCAGUCGGUUUGGUAUAAUACUUUGUAGGAGUCCCUGGGUGGUACAAAUGGUUAAUGUGCUUGGCUGCUUACUGAAAGGUUGGAAGUUCGAGUCCACCCAGAGGCACCUGAGAAGAAAUGCCUGGCAACCUACAUCUGAAAAAUCAGUCAUUGAAAACCCGAUAAAGCACAGAUAUACUCUGACACACAUGGGGUCGCCAUGAGGUGGAGCAAACUCGGCGACAACUGGUUUGGUGUUUUGGUAUAAUACUCUGUAUCUUAACACGGUCAGAAAAAACAAAACAAAACAAAACCAAAAAGCUGGCACCUGGCUUGCUGUUGGAUUAAAAAAUCUAGCAUGUUACCAGUUCUUCAAAAGCAUACAUGUUAAAACAGACAAUGUAUGGCAAUAGCAAAUAAAUAGCAGUAAUAUGUAAUUCAGGUAAUGUUUCACAAAUAAAAUGUAAUUGAUCAUAAAUCUUCAAAGUGUCUGAGCUGCUUCUUUACAGUAAGUUAGCCGUAUUUGGAUCUGCCAUUAGCUCUGCAUCUUAACUAUGUGAUACAUUAAACUAUAAUGAGUAAAUGAGGCAGAAAUCAAGCAUGCAAUUCAUGGGAAAUUACUUGGGAUCACCAUAGAAAGACUAUCUAUAGGAUUAAGUUGGUAUUGCUUCUGCUUGUUGAAAGUACCUGGAUAAGUAACGCCAAAGUGGCCAUUUGAACCCUAGGUUUACAUCUUUCAGGGAAGAUACUGAGAGCACUUCUAGCACGUUCCCCUCAGCUCAGCCCAAGCCCCACAUCCACCAGGUCUCACACUUGAUGACAACACACAGGCCGAGAUUUAACAUGACUAGACGAGACAUGCCCACGGGGCUUACGCAGGUAGACAGUUCUUCUGCAUAUUUUCUGACCAGAAAACAAACAAACGACCAAAAAUCAGGCCUCCUACACAGGAGAGCCACUUACAUUUGUCCUGCAAUGAGUCAUGGGGCACUUCUCCCUGAGGGCUUUCUUCCAAGUCUCCAUAAUGCAGGACCUUGUGAUUUGGGGAAAGCCGACAAUACCAAAACUUGUCUGAGGAAAAAAAACACACACACACAAGAUUACAAGGUGAGUGAUUCUGGUUUCCAAAAAUAACAUCCUUAUUUCUUAAUACCCUUGCCUGGAGGAAAAAACAAUUCAUUUGAUUUGGGGUCUGCCAGAAUAUUACUCGGCCAUAAAGAGAAAUAGAAUCCUGAUACAUGCUACAACAUGGAUAAACCUUGAAAACAUUAUGCUGAGUGAAAUCAGUCAGUCACAAAAGGACAAAUAUUGUGUGAUUCCACUUACAGGAAAUACCUAGGAUAGCGAAGUGUACAGAGACGAAAAUUUGUUUACUUGUAGUUACCAAGAGUGGGCAGGAGGGAGGGAAAACGCAGAUAUCCCUGAUUAGGGCACAGUGUGCUUCUGUCAAGGGUGAUGUGAAAACUGGAAAACGGAUAAUUGUAAUGGUUGAACAAUGCAACAAACAUAACUAAUGCCACUGAAUUGUGCACAUGAAAAAUGCUAAAAUGGCAAACUAUUUGUUACAUAUAUAUUUACCACAAUAAAUUUUUAAAAAGAAUUAAUUCUAGGGCUCAGGGAAGAAAGACCCCUUUCGAUUUUGACAUUUAAUUAGUGCCUGUCCCGCUUAAUAUAAAUUUGGUAACCACUGGGAAAAUUAUUAAAUCCUUCAAGUUCAAUGGCAAUAGGUUUUCUGAGGUGGCAGUUGCCAGAAAGUCUUCUAUCAUUACCUACAAUCACUAAGGGAGCUAUUCCUUACCCACUUAGGUCUGACCAAAAGGGAGACAUAUAGGAAAAACAGCUUUUUUGGAACUUUUGCCUUCUACUUUCUCCUCUGAAAUUUUAAGAUUGUUGAGAUGGCUGUGAUUAUAUUAGUCACCUCGAAACAUGGAGCUUCUACCCCUGAAACUAACACUCACACACAGUCAGUGCAGGGUAAGGAUGCUAAUGGAACAUACAGGGGUUGGAAUUCAUGAGGAAAUUAUCUAAGUAAUUCAGGAAUUUACCCAAAGAAUGAGGACAUUCACAAUCAUUUUUCUCACUAACUCCUAGAGUUUAGUCCUCAGAAUAGAUAUGACCAGGAACUUACGAUCAUUCUUGUGAAUAACUCCCUCAACUUUAUUCCUUCUGCCCCCAGACGUAACAAAAAAUUAUGAACACACCCAUGAGGUAGGGAGAAGGAGGCAAAGACCACUUUUUAUAGAUGUGGAACCUGAAUGGUAACAGCAAUCUUUGGCUGUUUUCAAGGCUCAGCUUAGACUCUGCUUCCUCCAGGAAGCCCUCUUCAGUCACUGCAGCUAGAAGGACUUUCCCCAUCCCCCGAGCUGCUACGGCAUCUGCUUUGGCUUGGACUGGGAUUACUGGGUUCCACAUGUCAACCACCCUAGUAUUCCGCAUUAUGUGCCACAGACCCUAGCUAAGCAACCUGUCCUAGUGGGUGUACUAGGAACAAUCACUGGUCGGGGAAGAGGACUCCAGGAUAACAUCAGCUCUGGCAGUACAGAGAAGACAGUCACUGUCUUCCUAAUCACACUGUCCCAAUCCCUUGGCAUGGUGCCUGGCAUAUAGAAGUUGCACAGUUGGUGCUGGCAAAAUUGAUAAAUUAAGGCUAAAAAUGCUCAAGGUACAAAGCAUCUAUUACCUGUAAGCCCUUCUGUACUGUCAUGGGCAGUUGGCCAACUCUGUGGUCUCAGUCACAAACAGUUUUGGAAGUACUCUGACUAUAAAGCUCUCCAAAACACUUUAAGAAAAGCGCUGUUUUUUCCCAUCUGAAAUUGCUUUCUCUGCAGAACCAGUUUUAACUAUGAUUCUUUUAAAAGGAAAAAAACAAAUUUUGAAAAUGAAAAUAAAAGCCACACAAAACUGUCCAUACGUCAUUCCCAGAAGGAAAGUGCUUCUGUGACUUCUAUCUUCUUCAUCUACAAAUGGGGCUUUGGAAUUCCUGACAUGUAGCCAGAAUAUGGCAAUAAAUGUAUCUAAAAGAAUCUGAACUCUGCUGGAAUGAUUUGAGAGGAUAAAGUUAUUUUAUGGUUAGGAAAACAUCUGGACUUGAUAAAUCUUCAAAAUUAUGCUUUAUAUAUACCAAACACGGAUCAUUUUACUGGGAGAGCAUUUCAAAGGGAGGGAACACAGCUAUUCCCUGAAUAAUUCACACCCAUUUUAACUGGGAUAAUGUGUCAUCAUUUUUCCAUGAGGAGGCCGCAUUUGUGGAUUUGACUUGCAAUUCACAAUAACUAGUUCCAAAGGAGUUGGCCAUGCUUUGACCUUGAGUACCAACAGUGCUUGUGAUGGAGCCUCUUGUGGGUCUGGCAUGACAGGCUGCAGUGAUUCCUUUUCCCCUAAAGGAUCUUUUGCCUCCUCUAAAUAGCUUGUGAUGACCACAAAGCCAGUUGGAGCAGCUGUUAUCUCCAAAGUGGGAUUUUUGGCUACGUGAGUGACUAAAGGGUGAUAGAAAGCCAAGAAGAAGGUCAGCAGAGAUAUGCUGCUUGGACAUGCUGGUCUUGUUCUGAGUAAGGUCUUAGCAUGUUCUUUAUAGGAAUCCCUUGCUUCUCAAGCUGGGGUAAACUCUUGAGGUUAGUAGUGGGACUUGAAGCCAAAGGAUCAAUAAGGCACAAUCAAAGAUCAAUUAGUUGGGGUAAGGAGAAAUUAAAAAAUUUAAUUGGUACACAGAUAUAUUAUAGAGUAAAACAUACAAUUUAUAUUUAUUUGUAAGAUAAAAUAUCAAAGUUCAAAGAAAUUUUGCUGCUUAUAUUCUUUUAGGGUCAGUUUAUUCAAGAAGUCCCUGGGUGGUGAAAAUGGUUACGGUGUUCGGUUGCUAACUGAAAGGUUGGCUGUUUCAGUCCACCCAGAGGUGCCUCGGAAGAAGGGCCUGGUGAUCAACUUCUGAAAGGAUCAGCCAUUGAAAAUCCUAUGGAGCACAGUUCUACUCUGACACACGUGAGGUUGCCACGAGUCAGAACUGACUGGAUGGCAACUUUUUUUCCCCCUAAAUUUUCAGUGAAUAUUCACAGAGUGCCUACUAUGCUCAUAGCACUCAACUGGGUGUAGCAAAAACAUCAUUAAAAUGAAAGGUAGACAUGAAAGACAAAGCCAAGAAGCUCUUAACAGCAGCUAAGAGAAAGAUGGUAGAAACAGGUGUUUGCAGACCAGUAGGUCUGGGAAGGAGGGGGCAGGAACAAAUCAGGAACUCUGAGUGAGAGGGGAAAAUAUGAACCCGGAAGGUCUCUUGUGUGAUAUAGCCUCACAUUCAAAAACUACUAGAGGACAGUGGCUAUUUAUCAGAGUUCCAGGAGGCAAAACAACCACUCUCCUUGCAAGGCUGCAGUCAAUGUUUGUUUAAAAGAAACAUGGAAGGCUGCCCAGAAACGUGUCAUAAAAAUAUCUGGUGCAUAGCUGACAGAAUUGCCUCUUUCCAGAAUUUAAGAUUUUCUUGAUUUUUAUCGCACCACUUGGCCCUGGUUUUCCUCCUUCUUCUGGCUAAUUCUUCUCUUAUCCUAUAUGUUAUGGAUUGAAUUGUGUCCCCUCAAAAUUCUGUGUUGUAAACCCUCAUCCUUAUACCUGUGGAUGUAAUCCCAUAGGGUUCUUUGUUAUGUUAAUUGGGCCAUGUCAGUGUAGAGUGUGUUUUAAGUCAUUCACUUUUUAAGAUAUAAAAGAGCAGAUCAGGCAUAGAAGAAAGCAAGCACAAAUGGGGGAAGACAGAUGUCACACCACAUGAAGAUGGCCAAGGAACCAAGGAACAGAAGCUGAAAAGAGACAAGGACCUUCCCCCAGAGUUGACAGGACAGAAAGACUUACCCUAGACCCAGUACCUUAAACUGGGACUUCUAGCCUCCUAAACUGAGAAAAAUAAAUUUCUGUUUGUUAAAGCCACCCACUUGUGGUAUUUCUGUUGUAGCAGCUCUAGAUAAGCAAGACACUAUAUAAGUUCCUCUUUCUCUGUCCAUUAUUGAAAGGAAGAGAGAAAAAAAGAUAGGUGCACAUUGCUGUAAGUGACACGGUCAACUCCACCUCAUCAAAUAGGAAGUCUUGAAUGGAUGGCAAAAAAUUGUAAAAAGGGGCUGAAAAAACUUGAACAGGGUUGUCCUGACCCAUAAUCAAACGGGUGGAUACUCAGCUGUUAUCUCCCUCAGGAUAGAAGCUAGCCCUUAAUUUUGGGAAGGUUUUUUUUUUUUAGAGAUGUGAUAACUUGCUUAUUUCUGUUUGAAAAGUUGUUGUUGCUGUUAGUUGCUCUUGGGUUUGGCCCUCAGCUCAUGGCAACCCCAUGGUAUAAAAUGCUGCCCAGUUGUGCACCAACCCUGUGAUCACUUGCAAAUCAAACCAUUGUGAGACACUGAUUUUCAGAAGUAGAUUGCCAGGCCUUUUUUCCUAGUCUGACUUGGACUGGAAGCCCCACUGAAACCUGUUCAGCAUCAUAGCGACACACAAGCCUCCACUGACAGGUGGUGGCUGCACAUGAGAUCCAUUGGCUGGGAAUUGAACCUGGGUCUUCCGCAUGGAAGGUGGGAAUUCUACCACUUCACCAUCGUUGCUUCCAGCUGUUAUAAAGGAGAGCAGAACUGCUGGUUUCAGCCAGCCCGCACCAGCAUGCUGGGUGAGACAGUCCCAUGUCAGGUACCACCAGCAGCUUGAUUUGCAGUUUAUGUAAUGGCAAGAAAAAUGUGUACUUUCCUUUCAAAACCCAGCAUGAUAUUACUAGCUCCUCAAACCCUCUGGGCAAUGAGUAAGUGAAUUGCGUCACUAAAAGCAAUUAGCAGAAAGCAGUGAGAACAUUAUCAAAGAUUGUUUCCUAGCAUUUAAAGCAAAAUAAGAGUUAACAUGGAGGUCUUCCAGUCGAUUAUGGAGAAAAAAAAAGGAGAAGAGCAUGUUAAUAGCCAUCUCUUCACCCCCUCCCCCCAAACACAGAGGCUCAAAAUACAGAGACAAUUUUGUGCUUCAUUUCUUCUUUCUUUUCAUGUAUGUGUGCAAAGGAUCAGAGGGAAAAGCUGGCUUCAAAGCUCAUGGGCCUGGCAGAAAGCUCUCCAGGGCUGAUUAAAGCUCUCCCUAAUGUCACAUAGCAGCCUUAGCUCUUAACCACUAUACCACCAGGGCUCCAUUCCUAACGUCACAUAGAUUAUCCUGGAGCUAAUGACUACUGACGACUCUAAUUCUUGCUGUGCUGUGCAACAACAGAACCUUCUGCAAUGAUGGGCAUAUUCUAUAUCUGUGUUUUCCAAUAUCCAGAAAACAAAUUUCUACUUUUACUUAAUUUUAGUUGAUUUAUAUAGUCACAGGUGGCUAGUGGCAACUUCAUGGUACACAGCAGCCUGUAUUCUGUCUCCAUCAAGGCUGAACCGAGGUUUGGAGCUGGCCGCAGGUCUUUAGCGGAGAUGGAUGAGCUGAAGAACAGCUAUCACUGAAGCUCAAGGAAUGCAGAAGCAAGACAAUUUCCAUCGUGAGGGAUUCUACAAUGAGCACCUUGUACUCUGCGGUGGGGGUAGGAUGGAAAGAAGAAGUCCAUCUCAGUCCAGAAACUCCACUGAAACCUGCUCAGCAUCACAGCAACAUGAAAUCCUCCACCGAUGGACAUCUGGUGGCCAUGCAUGAGGUGCGUUGGCCUGAGUUGAACUUGGUCUCCUGCAUGGAAGGCAAGGACUCUACCACUGACCUACCACUGCUCCCGUCCCCAUUUUUCAGCUGAGGAAACAGGAACACCAAGAGACUGAGUCCAGUUUGAAGCUCACAGUCAUGGUUACCCAGCCUCUGUGAAUAACCUGAGUUUUCAUUCCCUGAGGAAGUUCUGCCGUCGGGAGCUCCUCGAGAUGAUUUUUUAAUGGGCAGUGUGAUAAGCAUACUUUGACUUUGCAAUCAGCAGCACGUCAAGAGACCAAGAAAACAAUCAAGAAGCUCUACUUUCCCAGCCAAGAAACCGCUGGAAAUUCUUUCCACGAGCUGAAACUGGUUUAAUGAACAUUCACAAAAGCACCAGCCACUUCAGUGAUGUUUUUCCAGACCAAGGCAUCCUGAACAACUUCUCCUGUUUUACAAAGCCACAGAUGCAAAUUUACAUGGGUAUUCACUCAGCUUGGCCAAGACAAUAAAUCCCUGGUCACACUCCCCUCCCUCCACCCAGAAUGUUGUUUUCCUGUAUCAGGUGGACUCCUGGACAAUACGUGUGAUCUGACCAAACAGGAAUACUGGGCAAUUCCUAGUCCAUAGCAAACACUAGCUUGGGCAAACCCCAGGACCACAUUUGCUUUUAAUUCCAUUACUCACAAAUGAGAACGGCCACACUGUCCCAGAUUCUAGCCCAUAGGGACUGGGAUAAUGAUGGGAUAAAUUAACGAUUAUCUGCAUCUUGUCUCCGGCUAAUAUAACGUAAUUUAGUUUAGAUGUACUAUGCUGUAAAGGUAACAUAUAACGCGAUGAUUUUCAAAUCCUUUUUUUUUUUUAAAAGCAAACAUUUUUACCAUAUGACAUUUUACAUAGUACCCUAGCACUGAAAUCUAGUGACGCCAGAGUUGCUUUCCUAGAAGCAGGGCAGGGAGACGCAGCACCCAGCCCUCAGAGCAGCGAAGGAAGUGUUGGCCAGAACACAGAUCUACAAGUCAGAAGGCUAGAGUUUUACUCUAGACUCUGCCAAUGACUAACAUGUCAUGUAGUUCAUUUAAGUCUCAGUUCCAUCGUCUGUAAAAUGGGGAUAAGAAUCUUUCCUGGGCAGCUGCUGUGACUCCCAAAGGGGACAGUGUGAGUGUAGAGGCUCUAGAAGCACUGGACAGGAAUAUGAGGUAUUACCGAAUUUGGGUUCAUUUCUUCAAGCUGAACGCUCUAUAUGCCCAUAUUAUACUGCAGUCAAGGCUCAUAUAUUCACCAGCUUCAGCCUAACCUCUGGGCCUGCUCUGACACCAGACUGCAGAUACCUGCUGUCACAUGGGGUUCCAUUCUCCGGUUGGGAAAGAACUAACACCUGGUAAGCAUCUGCUAUGAGCCAGGUACUGUGCUAUGCACUUUUUAGCUCACUUAACACCCCCUCCCCCUGCAAAAAAAUCAACUUUUGUGGGUAGAUGGUAAUAUCAUCAUCCCCAUCUUACAGGCAGCAAAACAACUCACAGGGGUUAAGCAUAGAACAAAGGUGGGAGACUCAGGUCUCCCUCAUGUAAGCUGCUUCCAUUUGCACAUGAGAACAAAGGAUGAGAAGCUUACACAAAGGGAUCUGGCCAUCUGACAGUGUGUUCUAGUACUCCAUUAAUACAAUUCUUGGACUUAAAUGGUCUCAAACCUUCUGUCAUUUGAUACUGUUCCAACUGAACAUUUAUAAAGCAUAAUAUGGAAAUCCGGCUGUAAUAAUAGAGCUUGGUACAUUUGUCAAACCUUUUCUGGGCAGGUCUCUUAGGGUUUCAUCACAGGCUUUCAGAUCACUAAAACUAUUUAUUAUCAGCAUUCAGCUUUUGUAAAAUGGACCCAGUAAAUUGCAGCUUUGAUGAACCCUGCUCUGAAUGGAAAAGAAAGUAGGAAAUCACUGGUGUAGUCACACAGGCAAUAAAUUAGGGCUCGUGACUUCCAAGACAGGGUGGCAGGGAGGGGAGGAAGGGAAGGCACCAGAGGACAGACAGAGAAACCUCAGAGGAAAGAGUUUGGGAAUUUCAUCAAUUCUUUGAUUAUAGAUGUAUCUUUAAAGAAUAGCUUUGCUUGGCUAGGGGUGAGCUAUUAGAAUACAGAGGAAAAUGCAGAGAUAAAGACCAUAUAGGAGCAAAUGCCUGAAAGUACUUCUGAGUAAUUUGAAUUGACGCAUUAUGACUUUUCAGUGUAAAUCUUGGUGAGGCUCAGAAAGGCUCAGUCACAGCAGUCUGUAUUGUGGAACUGACUUCUGGGAUGGACUAUCAGAAUAAGUGACUCUGUGACUGCAUGAGUUACCUUUUUUUGAAAGGCCAGACUUACUGGUCUGACAGAAACUGGAGAAACCCCAAGAUACCCUUUUAACUCAGUACUAAAGUCACUCCUAAGGUUCCCCCUUCAGCAAAGAUUAGACAGGCCCAUAAAACAAACAAUAACACAGGUAGCUCAACCAUGUAGACAAGACUAAAUGGACACACUGGCUCAGGGGCAAGGAGAAGAAGGCAGGAGGGCACAGGAAAGUUGGACGAAUGGAAAUGGGGAACUAAAGGUUGAGAAAGGGAGACUGUUGACAUGUUGUGGGGUUGGCAGCCAAUGUCUCAAAAUAAUAUGUGUAUUGUUUAACGAGAAACUAAUUUGCUCUGUAAACCUUCAUCUAAAGCACACACAUACACAUGAAAGAUGGGAUAAUAAAGAAAAAAAAGAGAAAGAGAGGGCUCAAUUCCAAGUCUUGCUGCUUACUAGCUGUAAAUUCUGGGCUAGUUUUCCUCUCUCUGUACCUAGGUUUUGUUGCUGUUGGUGUGCUUUAGGUGAAGGGUUACAGUGCAAAUUAGUUUCUCAUUCAAAAAUUUAUACACAAAUUAUUUUGUGACAUUCUUUUGCAAUCCCUGCAAUGUGCCAGCACUCUCCCCGUUUCCACCCUGCGUUCCCCAGUUCAUUUAUCCAGUUUUCCUGUCCCUUCCUGCCUUCUCAGCUUUGCUUUUAAGCAGGUGUUGCCCAUUUGGCCUUGUGUACUUGAAUGAACUAAGAUGCACAUUCCUCAUAUGUGUUAUUGUUUAUUUUGUAGGCCUGUCUAAUCUUUGGCCAAAAGGUUGACUUCAGGAGUGGUUUCAUUUCUGAGUUAGCAGAAUAUUCAGGGCCAUAGUCAUGGGGUUCCUCCAGUCUCUGUCAGA